rnacentral:tRNA from 1 species
GCCCGCUUGGCUUAGUGGUACAGCGUGUCACUCGUAGUUCUUACUGAUAUGACAAGAUCCUCGGUUCGAUUCCGAGAGUGGGCA